UACGUAGGGUCCGAGCGUUGUCCGGAAUUAUUGGGCGUAAAGAGCUCGUAGGCGGUUUGUCGCGUCGGCCGUGAAAACUUGGGGCUUAACUCCAAGCUUGCGGUCGAUACGGGCAGACUUGAGUUCGGCAGGGGAGACUGGAAUUCCUGGUGUAGCGGUGAAAUGCGCAGAUAUCAGGAGGAACACCGGUGGCGAAGGCGGGUCUCUGGGCCGACACUGACGCUGAGGAGCGAAAGCGUGGGGAGCGAACAGG
rnacentral:rRNA from 1 species